AAUGAACGUUGGCGGCGUGGAUUAGGCAUGCAAGUCGAGCGUGAUCAGUUCCCUCACUUUGUGCUCUUUAGUGAAGAGCGUGAAGUGAGGGGACUGUGAAAGCGGCGAAAGGGAGAGUAACGCGUAGUUACGUACCCCGAGGCCCGGAAUAGCCACGGGAAACUGUGGGUAAUGCCGGAUAAUAUCUUAGGAUCAAAGAUGUGAUUUCACCUUGGGAGCGGACUGCGUCGUACUAGCUUGUUGGUGGGGUAAUGGCCUACCAAGGCGAUGAUGCGUAGCGGGUGUGAGAGCAUGACCCGUCUCACUGGGACUGAGACACUGCCCAGACACCUACGGGUGGCUGCAGUCGAGAAUCUUCGGCAAUGGACGAAAGUCUGACCGAGCGACGCCGCGUGCGGGAUGAAGGCCUUCGGGUUGUAAACCGCGAAAGUAGGGAGGAAGGCUUCGUGAAGAACGAGGUUUGACCGAUCUACAGUAAGGACGGGCUAAGUACGUGCCAGCAGCCGCA
rnacentral:rRNA from 1 species